CGCGUAGGCGGGCCGGAGCAAAGUUCUGACGUGAAAUGCACCGGUUCAACCGGGGCGCUGUGUCGGAAACUGCCUGGCUUGAGGUCGAGGGAGGAAGGUGGAAUUCCUGGUGUAGCGGUGAAAUGCGUAGAUAUCAGGAGGAACACCCGGUGGCGAAGGCGACCUUCUAUCUCGAUUCUGACGCUGGAGGCGCGAAAGCUAGGGGAGCAAACG
rnacentral:rRNA from 1 species